rnacentral:lncRNA from 1 species
CAGCCGCAAAAAGAAGGGAAAAGAGAGAAAAAAAACUGCUUUAUUCUCUCUUUUACUCCUCACUUCGGCACUCUCUCCCUUUUCAACUCCGACUGAAGUGCAGCAAGGGCACUGGCGGCGCACCACCACUAGUAAGAACCUUUUCCUUUCUUCCUUGCUUUUUGCGCACAAAACGGAGAGUCAAAGAAAAAAAGGAAAAUAAAACACAAAGAAAAUCACCUUUCAAAAGAUUUCUUAUUUUUGCUCCAAUUUCCUGUUUUUAUAUAUUUCCUCAAUAAUUUUCUAAUACAAAAAACGUAACCCCCUUAUUACAGAUUUUAUUUGGCUUUAUAUAGUCGAAAAUAAAAAAACUAACUCCCCCCAUUUUACAUUUUGUUGUAUUUUCUGCUAUAUUUGCGUUGUAUGCUGUUUGUUUGUUGAAGAACUGGAGGAGAACGUGGGCUAUGCGAGGGCAACGUGCUGCGAUGUUGAGGCGAUUGUUGCGGUGCUGAGGAAGGGAAGCAAACUGUUGUGUUGUUGAUUUUUUAGUUUGGGUUACUGUUUGGGUUUGGGGCUGUUAAUUGGGCCUAUUUUGAGUGGGCCGGGCAAUUUGGGCUUGUACAACUGCCCCUCUUUGCUCGUUGUCGUGUAACGGGAACAGAGCAAAGACUAAAAGCCCAAUUGUGCCCGGUCUUACCGCCUUGACUUCUUCAGUGCUUCUCUACUUCAAAUAGCCUCAUUCCUUCCUACUGCAUCUUCUGAGGUAUAGGAACUGAUGCUUCAAUCUACUCCACUGUAAUACUGGGGAGAUAGGGUUCAUACGUUGUAGCUUCUCAAAAGAAUAAAACUUGCUAUCUCUAAUCUGCUCCACUGCAACUUCAGGGAGAUAAAACUUAAAGCUUCAACUUGUUUUGCUACAACUUAAGGAUAAAUCUGAUGCGAUCUGCUCUACUGCAACUUCAGGGAGAUAAGACUUGUAUCUUCGAUCUACUUCGCCACCAAUAUGGGAAGACAAUAUCUACUAUCUUUGAUUUACUUCACUGCCAGUACAUGAAGACAAGAUUUGCUUUCUUCGAUCUACUUCACGCCAAUAUAUGAGUACAAGAUCUGCUAUCUUUGAUCUACUUCACUGCCAGUACAGGAAGACAAGAUCUGUUAUCUUUGAUCUACUUCACUGCAAGUACAAGAAGACAAGAUCUGCUAUCUUCGAUCUACUUCACGCCAAUACGUGGAGACAAGAUCUGCUAUCUUCGAUCUACUUCAUGCCAAUAUAUGAAGAUAAGAUCUGCUAUCCUCUGAUCUACUUCAUGCUAGUACAUGGAGACAAGAUCUGCUUUGUUUGAUCUACUCCGCCACCAGUACGGGAAGAUAAGAUCUACUAUCUUUGAUCUACUUCAUGCCAAUACAUGAAGACAAGAUCUGCUUUAUUUGAUCUACUUCGCUGCCUGUACAGGAAGACAAGAUCUAUUUUCUUCGAUCUACUUCACCACCAGUAUGGGAAGACAAGAUCUGCUAUCUUUGAUCUACUUCACGCCAAUACAUGAAGACAAGAUCUGUUUUCUUCAAUCUACUUCACCACCAAUAUGGGAUGACAAGAUCUGCUAUCUUUGAUCUACUUCACGCCAAUACAUGAAGACAAGAUCUACUUUCUUCGAUCUACUUCACGCCAAUAUAUGAAUACAAGAUCUGCUAUCUUUGAUCUACUUCACUGCCAGUACAGGAAGACAAGAUCUGUUAUCUUUGAUCUAUUUCACUGCCAGUACAGGAAGACAAGAUCUGCUAUGUUCGAUCUACUUCACGCCAAUACAUGAAGACAAGAUCUGCUAUCUUCGAUCUACUUCACACCAAUACAUGAAGACAAGAUCUACAAUCCUCUGAUCUACUUCAUGCUAGUACAUGAAGACAAGAUCUGCUUUCUUCGAUCUACUUCGCCACCAGUAUGGGAAGACAAGAUCUGCUAUCUUUAAUCUGCUUCAUGCCAAUACAUGAAGACAAGAUCUACUUUAUUUGAUCUACUUCGCUGCCAGUACAAGAAGACAAGAUUUAUUUUCUUCGAUCUACUUCGCCACCUGUAUGGGAAGACAAGAUCUGCUAUCUUUGAUCUACUUCACGCCAAUACAUGAAGACAAGAUCUGCUUUAUUUGAUCUACUUCGCUGCCAGUACAGGAAGACAAGAUCUGUUUUCUUUGAUUUACUUCGCCACCAACAUGGGAAGACAAGAUCUGCUAUCUUCGAUCUACUUCACACCAAUACAUGAAGACAAGAUCUGCUAUCUUCGAUCUACUUCACCACUAGUAUGGGCAGACAAGAUUUGCUAUCUUUGAUCUACUUCACUGCCAGUACAGGAAGACAAAUUCGUUGCCUUUUAACCUGCUCCACUGUCGCUUAGGGAGAUAAGGCUUAUGAUUUCACCAAUUUGUUCUCUGGGGAACAUAACCUGUAUAAUUCACUUUAUGAAACUAAUUAUGCCUAAUAGGAUGUCAUGAACAGAAUGGAUCAAAUGCUCCUAACUAGACAUGUAUGAAUGACAUUUGGAUGAAUGCAGAAUGUCAUUUUUCGAGAAUGAUCCCUCCUUAUCACUCUUGUUAUCAUUAUUCAAAGUUUAUUAAAGUUUUAUAGCUAAUGUGCCAUAGCACCGUUUUGCUCAGCUAGCGUCUCCAACGAAACACUUGACUAGAUUGCCCCCACUGUAAACCUCCAAGUUUGAUCCACUGGGAUGUAAAAUUUGUACCAUCUUUCUCCUGUUGUAACCCAAAAGUAAAAAGAUUUGGCCUUUUCUCAAUCCACUGCUAUCACAAUUCAAGGAUACAGGAUGUGAAACUCUUUGGUCUCUUACACCAUUCCCAAGGUGUCAUACCAAAUGCUCAUGCACAAAUGAAGAAUUUUCUUCUCCAAGAACAACUUCUUCUUAUUAUUCGGUGAUCAUUGCUUGCUUGUUCAUUGAAGCUUUGUCACCAACACUACAUCUUGCCAUUUUGUUCGAUCGAUAUUUUAGAGAACAAAAUUCAAAGGGAUAGUCUUAAUUUAGACUCUUCCUUAUUAGAUUUCCAACCUUUAACCUGGUGCGUUCUAAACAAUAGUCCUGUUUCAGGUUUCUGUAUUAUUUAGAAACUUCUAGAGUAAUAUGCAAAACUUUCAUUGUGAAAAUUUUAUUAGUCUAUUAAUCAAUAUUCUAAUGCAACAUGCUUGCAAAAAGAUCAUGGAUAAGAAUAGAGUUGGUUCUGAGCAUAGCUCGGAAUGAAUAAAUUAUCAAAGAUAAUAAAGAUUGAUAACAAAGAAAUUGAUUUAGGAAUGCCUAUCUUGGAAGUGAAUGAAGUUUCCAAGAAUAAUAAAAUUAGUAUAAGGAUUAGGUGCCCCAGAUAUCGCAGAUUGAACUUCUCUGUACAAACUUUUCGAAGACCAUUCUGAGUUUAACAUGUGUUUUAGGAGACCUAUAGUACUUUGUCGAUGCCCCAAGAUGUCGUCUACCCUUUCCUGUUGAUUCAGGUAUAGCGAGACCACUGCAUGCCCCAUUCUGAUCAGUAUUUGAGCUGCUCUGAUUACCUCAUGCCCCAUUUUGAUCAAUAUUUGAGCCGCCGUUUUCGGGUUUUCAACUCAAAUCCCCUUUGGUCUAAGGCGCCCUUUGCAAGUUUUCACCUUAUCCUCUCCAUUUUACUUUUUCCAUUUUUCAUUUCUCAUUUCACUUUUCAUUUUUUCAUUUCAUCAUUUUACGACUCAAAGUGCCCUUUGCGGGUUUUCUACCUCGGUCAUCUCCUUCUUUAAGCGGAGUAUUUUCUGACUGAAUCUGAAUUUACAGAACUUAUCAUCCAUCUCGCUCAAAAUCAAAGCUCUUUUGGAAAAAAACCUUCUUUAACAUAAGGUUCUUCCCAAUUUGGCAUUCGUUUCCCUCCAAAACAUUUUUUUGUAGAGGGAAGAUCUUCAACAUUUGGUCACCCUCGUGGAAUUCUCUAGGAUGAACCUUUUGUUAUAGGCUCGCAUUAUUCAUUUCUGGUACAUCUGACCGUGAUGAAUAGCUUUUAGCAUUUUUCCUUCUAUCAAGUUCAAUUGAUCACAUCGCAAUUGAAUCCGUUCUGCUUCAUCCAACUUGCUUAGCCAAUACCCGGAGAAAGAAUUUCGACUUUAAUUGAAAAAGAAACCGUGACAAACUAAAAAGAGAGGCAUUGCUCCGGUACAGUUUUCAGCAAAUCAUUUAUGGUAAUCUUGAACAUUCUGCAAAUUUCUGAUAUCGUGCUGUUGUUCAGAUUGCAAUGACAGUGCUUAACCUGGGCAUACCCUGGUAUGACCAUGCGAAGACAUCUUUGAAUUCUUGAAGUAACUCAACAACGUCUUGCUUUGUUUCUUCGGUCAUGCAUGUUCCCUCAAGGUUACAGUCUCCAUUGUCUCCUCAUGAGGUAAAUUUGUUCUCUUAUUACUCUACCAUCCUCAACAAGUCAGGAGAUAAGCUACAAUCUAUGUCGUUUUCAAAGUCAUGAAAUCUCUCUAAACACAUGUCUCACUCAAAAGGAGAUUCUGAGUCUAUAGCAGCGUCACUCAUGCCAUUGAUAUCUAGGGACUCAUAGUAGGAACCAAAGAACAUACAAAAGAAUGUAUGAAUUUAUAAAUAAUAUGAAUGAAUGAAAGAAUGAUUUGGCAGAAAAAAUCCAAAAGAAUGAAGGAAUCGUAAAGAAUGAAAGAACAUUUGCUCAAAGAUGAUUGCAAUAAUGUAUGUCAUUAAAAUAAUAAUGUUCAGACAUGAGCCUAUUUCACAAAGAAAUUCUUAUUUCUUCUAGGCUAAAAGCAACAUUGUGUUUUGAACAUUACUCUAACAGACUUUAAAUACUAUAGGGUUUCCUCUGCAAUCCCAUUAUUUAUAACACCUCCAAGGCAAAUAUCUAACAAGGACCCAUUUAGUUGUGUCUGCACAUAUGGCGUCGAUGUGAAAAUCUCACCACUUCUCUAUAUAUUGCAUUCCCUCCAUUAUCAAUCAUGAUUGGGUAACGGAUUUUCUGCACUAGACGAGUCACCAAACUUGACGAUACCCAUGUUGAUGAGUCUUUCAACUUGCUUCUUGAAGGCAGUGCAAUUCUCUAUUGAGUGUCCCGUAAUUCCCGCAUGGUAUUCACAUUGUACGCUUGCAUCAUACCAUUUGGGAUACGGAGGUUGUAGAGGCUUCACAUGAAAAGGGGAAACCACAUGUGCAUCAAACAAAUUUUGAUACAGUUCUUUAUACGGUACUGGGAUUGGUGUAAACUGGAACCUCUCAGUCUUUAUGCCAGAAUCUUGCCUUGAUGAAUUUUGUUGAUUACCAACCACCUUUCUUGGUUGACUCACAUUAACUGAUUUAGAGUAACCUAUGUUGUUCACCUAAUCUUCUCUUCUCCUUAAAGCUGACCUCUUGUUACUCUCUUCUGCAUCGAUUUUCCUGCUCCUUAUGGCAUUCUCGAUCAUCUCACUAUUCAUGAUUAUAUUAGAAAAGCUUUUUGUGGCACUCCCUAACAUAUGUGUAAUGAAUGGUGCUUUCAAUGUGUUAAUGAAUAGCAUAGUCAUCUCUUUUUCCAAAAGCGGUGGCUGAACUUGGACCGCGACUUCCCUCUAUUUUUGUGCGUACUACCUAAAACUUUCGUUCAGCUUAUUCUCCAUAUUUUGAAGGGUGAUUCUAUCAGGAGCCAUGUCUGUUACAUGACUAUACUGUUUCAUGAACGCUUGUGCCAAAUCCCUCCAUGAACCAAUCAUGGUACGGAUCAAUUGAUUGUACCAUUUAGAUGCUGCCCCAGCGAGGCUAUCUUGGAAACAAUGUAUCAAUAGCUGGUCAUUGUUAACAUAUCCAACCAUUCGCCUGCAGAACAUUGUGAUAUGAGCUUCUGGGCAACUUGUCCCAUUGUACUUCUCGAAUUCUGGCAUCUUAAACUUAUGAGGGGGUACCAAAUCCGGAACAAACUCAGCUCUUUAGCGUCAAUCCCAUGAUAGUUUUCAAUGAUCUCCAUCGCCUUGAACUUUUCUUCAAGCCAUUUGCACCUUUCUUCUAAUUGUUUUGGUAACUCUUCCUUUAUUCUUUCCUUCUUAGCCACUUCAUCAAAGUCAGGAAUGUCAGAGUUAACAAGGUUGUUUUCGGGGUUAGAGCCCGAUCCAGCUUGAAAGUUUGAAGCACCAGCCUAGAGCUGCUGAGGCCUGAUUGUGACAGUAGGUUUGUGCGGGUAUUUAGCUUGAGUUCGCACAUGUGGAGGAGUAAAGCCUGGAGGAUAGAGAGGUUCAUCCUCAUUACUCUCUUCGACAUUAGCCAUAGGGCCCUUUCCCUUAUCACCUCCCCCAAUCAACAGUUGGGUUAACUUUGCCAUCAUAUCAUUUUAGGAUUCCAACAUCUUCUCCGACAUAUCCCGUUGCAUUUUGUCUAACCGCUCCUGCACUUGUAGCUGGAGUCGGUCUUACAUUUCUUUCUAGUACUGUUUGAGCUUUUCCAGUCUCUGAUCCAUGUCUUUAAUCUUUGCUCGAGUGCCGUAACAGUGUUUGGUUGGUUGGUUGGUUGGUUUCCAGGUUAACUGAGCAAUGAUUUUAAUUAAUUAGGAUCCUUUAACGGUGUUUAAUCAUAUGAUGUAAUGUAAUGCAAAUGCAUGAAAUGAAUGCAAGAAAGAUACGUUGAUUCUGGUUCAAUUCUUUACUAGAAAAACUUCACUAGAAAACAAAUCUCUUUACACAAAGCGGAUAUAUAUAUACGGCUUCGCCCUCGUACUCCAAACAAAGACAUCGACCAUUCAGAUAUUAAGAUGCAUCUCGCGAAUUUGAGCUCCUUUUUGUUUGAUCUAGGUCGUAACUCCCUGCUCACUCAUGCCCAUGAGAUUCUUUAAAAAGGUUGGGAUGUGUGAUGACUCUUGAAUAAUAUUUGCUAAUCUUGAAUCAACGCAGCAAAGUCGUAUACUCCUCUUGUUACACUUCUCGUAUCACGCUUUCUUGGACUAUAUUCAGAGAACCGUAUUGUUUUCCACUUUAUCAAGAAAUCCGUUUUCCAUGACAAGCUCUCUAUUUAGCAACCGAACGUGAAUCAACACCUCUUUUCUAUAAUGAAAUGCAAUGCGGUAAAAAUGUCAUGCAGCCAAAACAAAACAUAACAAGUUAGUAUCAGGUAUAAAAAUAGAAUCCAAUAUAAUUAGAAAUAAUAAAACACCGAUUCAGGUAUCUACUAGGGUUCAAUGUAGUUCUACCUAGGGUGAGUUUCUAAGGUUCACUAUAUGAGGUUUGGAUUCUAGAUCAAAGGUACCCGAACCAGCAGAUUCCUCGAUCCUCACCCAUUAUAGGCUCAUAUGGAUCGAGUUUGGUUCAGGGGAAUACAUUUCCCUAUGGCUGCAUCGAGAUGAAAAUCUCACGAAGACAUAGGUACGGAUGUAUCCCGGAAGCGGUCCACUACCUUGCACGGAGGUGAAAACCUCACGAAGGACUAGUUUCUCGCUCCAACUUAAAGGGGUAAAAUCGACCAACUUAUAAAAUGCAAAAUGAAAAUAAACUAACAGAUUUAGGCUAAUCAAGCAAACAUAUGACAAUGAUAACCAAUGAAUGCAAAGGAAAAAUCAUGAUUUUUUAAAAAAACUUUUCAAUUUUUGACAAAAAGGACAAAAAUAAUCAAUUCAUGGCUCGACUCUCUAAAGGGUCCCCAGUGGAGUCGCCAAGCUGUCGAAACCAUUUUUUGAAAAACAAAAAUUUAGUUGUCGACUUUAAAAAUAAAAUUAGAGUCGCCACCGAUCCUUUAUUAAGGUGUGAUCGGCUCACCUUAAAAAUUAUUUUGGUCUAAGAAUUUUGAGAAAACAAGUUCGGGAUUCAGUUACGCACAAGGAAGGGUUAGCACCCUCGUAACGCCCAAAAUCGGUACCAAAUGGAUUAUUUAAUGUCUUAGUGUCGAGGGCUAAAUUUUUUUUAAAAACAACUCAAAUGAUGAAAUCUAAAAAGGAUAAUCAAUUGUUCAAGUCAUGUAAAGAAAUCGAGUCCCAAUACGUUAGGGUACGAUUUCUCAAAAUCCUCAAACUUUGAAUAUCGCUUUUAUUUUAUAAGAAAAUCUUCAUUUCGAGAUAUCAAUAUGUCAUGCCCAAUACAUUAGGGCACAACGAGUUAAAUUCCCGAAAAUGAUUUUUACAUUUAUGCGCUUUGAAAAAAAUAUGCUCGAUUAUUUAGGUUUAACAAGGAAAAUUGGAACCCAAUACGUUAGGGCUCAAUCUUCUCGAAAAUCCCAAAUAUCGAAUAUCGCAUUAUCUUGAAAGCCUUUGAAUAAAAAUGAUUUUAAUGCUUUAAUGAAAACAUAUAUUUUCUUUAAAAGCAUGAUAAAAUGUUAAUAUACAACAUGGAACACAUAAAUUGAUUUAAAUUAUAUAUGUAUAUGUAUUACAAAAUGUCAAUGCAUAUAUAUACAUGUAUACAAAAGUUAUGGAAAUAAAAGAAUAAUAAUAUAUAUAAAAAAUAUGUACAUGUAUUUACAAAAUAUGUAUAUAUAUAUUUAUGAAAAUAAAAAAAUUUAUUUAGAUUUAUACAGAUGUAUAUAAAUUAUUAAAUAUAUGAAAAAAUAGAAUUAUGUAUAUAUAAAAAUUAAAAUAUGUAUGUAUAUAGGUAUAUAUAUGUUUGUAAAAAAUUAAGAAAAUAAAUAAUAAAAACGUAUAUAUAAAAGUAGGUAUAUGUACACAUUUACGAAAGUAAAGUAAAACAAAUGUUUUUGGAAUUAAAAUAUAAAAGAUAUAUAUGUUUUGUAAAAAAAUGUAUGUAUGUAUAAAAAUAGAACUUUAUGUAAAAAUUAGAAGUAUAUAUAUAUUAUAAAAAAUACAUGUAUAUGUGCAUGGAUUAUAAAAUAAGGAAAAUGUAUAAAUACUAUAAAAUAUAAAUGCAUAUACAUAUAUAUAAAAACUAUGAAAAUGAAAUAAUAAUAUAAUAAUAAAAUAUGUGUAUGUAUAUGAAUUUAAAAAACAUUUAAAAAUAUAUACAUAUAUAUUAUAUGAUAUUAUGCGUAUAUAUGUACGUAUAAUAAUAGUAAGUAAUAUAAUAAUAAUUAAUAAUAAUAAUAAGUAAUAGUAGCAACGAAAAAGAAUAAAUUAAUUAAUUGUAAAAACACCAAUCAGGAUUAAAUUGAAACAGAAAAGAAACUUAAGGGGAAAAUCUGAAAUAAUAAAAAUGCAAAUGGGCCAAAUAGAGUACGCCCUUAACAGUGGAUGACCAAAAGGGAAGAUAACCCCGCCCUUCCAAACGCAGCGUUUCAAUGAGGAUUAAAAUAAAACAAUUUCAAUAUUUCAUAGAAAAAUUUAAAAACAAAAAAAACAUGGUUUUGAAGUAACUGAAAAAUGAAAAGGAUUAAAGAUGUAAAUAGCCCAUUAAGCAAGGCCUACUUCUAACCCUAAUCCCAUUCUAAUCCAAUAUCAACCACACCAGCAGCAAAAAGAAGGGAAAAGAGAGAAAAAAAACUGCUCUAUUCUCUCUUUUACUCCUCACGUCGCACUCUCCCCCUUUUCAACUCCGAUUGAAGUGCAGCAAGGGCACCGAUGGUGCACCACCACUGGUAAGAACCUCUUCCUUUCUUCCUUGCUUUUUGCGCACAAAACAGAGAAUCAAAGAAAAAAAAGGAAAAUAAAACACAAAGAAAAUCACCUUUCAAAAGAUUUCUUAUUUUUGCUCCAAUUUCUUGAUUUUAUAUAUUUCCUCAAUAAUUUUCUAAUACAAAAAACGUAACCCCCCUUAUUACAGAUUUUAUUUAGCUUUAUAUAGUCGAAAAUAAAAAACUAACUCCCCCUAUUUUACAUUUUGUUGUAUUGUCUGCUUUAUUUGCUUUGUAUGUUGUUUGUUUGCUGAAGAACUGGAGGAGAACGUGGGCUAUGCGAGGGCAACAUGCUGCGAUGUUGAGGCGAUUGUUGCAGCGCUGAGGAAGGGAAGCAAGCUGCUGUGUUGUUGAUUUUUUUAGUUUGGGUUAUUGUUUGGGUUUGGGGCUGUUAAUUGGGCCUGUUUUGAGUGGGCUGGGCAAUUUGGGCUUGUACAUGGCAGAUUGCACAUGCCCAUGUGUGAUAGCUCCAGUUUCCACACGCUUGUGUCACUUACCCACACGCCCAUGUGCACCCUUCACACGCCCGUGUGAAAACCACUCCACCUAUUUUUGCAAAAAACUCAUUUUAAAACACGAUUUUGCAUAUUUUAAUGGCCAAUUAAACCUGAUUUAGCUACGAUUAAUUAACAUAUAUAUACAUACACCGUCAAUUGAAUUUAUGGACAUUAAUUAAGCCUUAAUUAAAUAGAAUUAGGCAAUCAAUUUAAUGCAUAACAAACACCGAAUAAAUCAAACAAGUGGCGUACCUUAGUCGCUAGUAAACC